CCUACGGGUGGCAGCAGUGAGGAAUAUUGGUCAAUGGGCGAGAGCCUGAACCAGCCAAGUCGCGUGAAGGAUGACGGCCCUACGGGUUGUAAACUUCUUUUGUCAGGGAGCAAUUGGGUCCACGCGUGGGCUUAGCGAGAGUACCUGAAGAAAAAGCAUCGGCUAACUCCGUGCCAGCAGCCGCGGUAAUACGGAGGAUGCGAGCGUUAUCCGGAUUUAUUGGGUUUAAAGGGUGCGCAGGCGGAGGCACAAGUCAGCGGUAAAAUCGCGGGGCUCAACCCCGCUCCGCCGUUGAAACUGUGUCCCUUGAGUGCGCGAAGGGUAGGCGGAAUGCGUGGUGUAGCGGUGAAAUGCAUAGAUAUCACGCAGAACUCCGAUCGCGAAGGCAGCCUACCGGCGCGCAACUGACGCUCAUGCACGAAAGCGUGGGUAUCGAACAGGAUUAGAUACCCUUGUAGUC
rnacentral:rRNA from 1 species